CAGCCGCCACGGUAAUACGGAGGAUCCAAGCGUUAUCCGGAAUCAUUGGGUUUAAAGGGUCCGUAGGCGGUCUUGUAAGUCAGUGGUGAAAGCCCAUCGCUCAACGGUGGAACGGCCAUUGAUACUGCAGGACUUGAAUUAUUGGGAAGUAACUAGAAUAUGUAGUGUAGCGGUGAAAUGCUUAGAGAUUACAUGGAAUACCAAUUGCGAAGGCAGGUUACUACCAAUUGAUUGACGCUGAUGGACGAAAGCGUGGGUAGCGAACAGGAUUAGAUACCCCCGUAGUCCCUGUCUCUUAUAC
rnacentral:rRNA from 1 species